AACUAUCUGAAUUAAAAGGGAAUCGGGUGUAAAUCCCGGACAGUCCCGCUGCUGUGAAACUCUAUUCAACUUCUUGAUAUUUACUUUUACCACUGACCGGGUAUGAUAGAUAGUCAAGGUCGGGAAGGAAUCAGGAAGGGAGUCAGUCAGAAGACCUGCCAUUCAUACC
rnacentral:ncRNA from 1 species